rnacentral:tRNA from 1 species
GAAGGUAUAGCUUGGUGGUAGAACGCAUGCCUAGCAUGCAUGAGGUCCUGGGUUCAAUCCCUAGCACCUCUA